UGAGCCUGAUGUCUACAUUAACCAUGACCCC
rnacentral:piRNA from 1 species